rnacentral:lncRNA from 1 species
ACGAAAAUGCCGAUGUUAUUGACUGCACAAGCUCAACGCUUUCAGGUAAAGAUCGUACUGACCCCAAUUCCACUACCCCAACAUCAGUUGGGAUCAAAACCAAAGUCUGCGUACCAGCAUUUCUUGCCAAAACUGACCUAAAACAGUAAUUAUUGGAUAAUUUCAACGCAUCCAAAAUCCACACAUGCUUCCUCGACCCAAAACACUUUCCAGGAGCACCUUUUCCAAUGGGGAAUGAAAAAUACAUUGAAACAAGAAAGAACAUUUCAAUAUCUGUAACCCUAUCCAAACCAGAAGCAUAACACUCGUCCUCUGAACCCCCAAACAAGGAAUGCAACUUCUGA